rnacentral:snRNA from 1 species
GUGCUUGCUUGGGCAGCACAUAUACUAAAAUUGGAACAAUACAAAGAUUAGCAUGGUCCCUGUGUAAAGAUGACAUGCAAAUUCCUGAAGCAUUUCAUAUUUAA